CUUUAAAUCAUAGCAGGUAUAGUUGAUAUAAUCAAUCACCUAACAAAAAUUAUUGCUUUUUUGUUAUUAUAUCAUGAUAUAAUAACUUUCUGAUAAUAUGAAAUAAUGACGACCGGAGUGAAAGAAACUUACUCAUCUAGAUUGAGUGGGCUGUAUUAAUCGAAUUUAACUAGAAGUUGAAAAUUUAACGUUAUAAAUAAAUAAAAGUAAGAUUAUUUCAAACCGGGUCAGAUUAAAAGAAAAGUCCACCUGGAGAUUAUUUUUUAAAUCUUAUUUUCACACUCUGACAGCUGUUAUCCGAUUUUAAUCUUUACAAAAAGUCAGUACCCCCGCGAAAAG